GCGUCUUCGGGCGCGUUCGCCUUGGUGACUCUGGAUAACUUUGCGGAUCGCACGGUCUAGCACCGGCGACGGAUCAUUCAAGUGUCUGCCCUAUCAACUUUCGUCGGUACGGUAUUUGCCUACCGAGGUUCUUACGGGUGACGGGGAAUCAGGGUUCGAUUCCGGAGAGGGAGCCUGAGAAACGGCUACCACAUCCAAGGAAGGCAGCAGGCGCGCAAAUUACCCAUUCCCGACGCGGGGAGGUAGUGACGAAAAAUAACAAUGCAGGACUCGUUCGAGGCCCUGUAAUUGGAAUGAGUACACUUUAAAAGCUUUAACGAGUAUCCAUUGGAGGGCAAGUCUGGUGCCAGCAGCCGCGGUAAUUCCAGCUCCAAAAGUAUAUAUUUAAGUUGUUGCGGUUAAAAAGCUCGUAGUUGGAUUUUGGGCGCAGGCGGCCGGUCCGUCGCAAGGCGUGUACUGGACGUCCUGGCCUUCCCUCCGGUUCUCCGCCGGUGCUCUUGACUGAGUGUCGGCGGCGGCCGGAACGUUUACUUUGAAAAAAUUAGAGUGUUCAAAGCAGGCUCUCGAGCCUGGAUAAUGGUGCAUGGAAUAAUGGAAUAGGACCUCGGUUCUAUUUUGUUGGUUUUCGGAGCGCGAGGUAAUGAUUAAGAGGGACAGACGGGGGCAUUCGUACUGUGCCGUUAGAGGUGAAAUUCUUGGAUUGGCCCAAGACGAACGACUGCAAAAGCAUUUGCCAAGA
rnacentral:ncRNA from 1 species